rnacentral:rRNA from 1 species
CCCUUAGAUGUUCUGGGCCGCACGCGCGCUACACUGAUGCAUUCAACGAGUCUAAAACCUGCUCUGAUAGGGGUGGGUAAUCUUUUGAAUGUGCAUCGUGAUUGGGAUAGAUGAUUGCAAUUUUUCAUCUUCAACGAGGAAUGCCUAGUAAACGCAAGUCAUCAGCUUGCAUUGAUUACGUCCCUGCCCUUUGUACACACCGCCCGUCGCUCCUACCGAUUGAAUGGUCCGGUGAAGUGUUCGGAUCGCGCCGACGUGGGCGGUUCGCCGCCGGCGACGUCGCGAGAAGUCCACUGAACCUUAUCAUUUAGAGGAAGGAGAAGUCGUAACA